CCGACGAUGUUCUCGGACAGACCUCGUCCCUCUUUUUUUUCGAAGAGAGAGGGAAUAAAAAGAGACCGAUCGGCGACGCUAUAGCUUUGGGUAAUUUCAGGACCCGUCUUGAAACACGGACCAAGGAGUCUAGCAUGUACGCGAGUCAUUGGGAAUAUCGCUAAACCUAAAGGCGUAAUGAAAGUGAAGGUCUUCCUCGCGAAGACCGAGGGAAGACGGACGGUUAUUUAUCUCAGAAAUCGAGUAAAAUCGAGACCGUCCCGCAUUCCCGGGGCGUCUCGUUCACAUCGCGUGAAGAGGCGCACCAAGAGCGUACACGCUGGGACCCGAAAGAUGGUGAACUAUGCCUGGUCAGGACGAAGUCAGGGGAAACCCUGAUGGAGGUCCGUAGCGAUUCU
rnacentral:rRNA from 1 species